GAUCCUGGCUCAGGAUGAACGCUAGCUACAGGCUUAACACAUGCAAGUCGAGGGGCAGCAUGGUCUUAGCUUGCUAAGGCUGAUGGCGACCGGCGCACGGGUGAGUAACACGUAUCCAACCUGCCGUCUACUCUUGGCCAGCCUUCUAGAAAGGAAGAUUAAUCCAGGAUGGGAUCAUGAGUUCACAUGUCCGCAUGAUUAAAAGGUUAUUUUCCGGUAGACGAGUGGGG
rnacentral:rRNA from 1 species